GAUGAACGCUGGCGGCGUGCCUAAUACAUGCAAGUCGAGCGAACAGAUAAGGAGCUUGCUCCUUUGACGUUAGCGGCGGACGGGUGAGUAACACGUGGGUAACCUACCUAUAAGACUGGAAUAACUCCGGGAAACCGGGGCUAAUGCCGGAUAACAUGUUGAACCGCAUGGUUCUACAGUGAAAGGCGGCUUUGCUGUCACUUAUAGAUGGACCCGCGCCGUAUUAGCUAGUUGGUGCGGUAACGGCUCACCAAGGCAACGAUACGUAGCCGACCUGAGAGGGGGAUCGGCCACACUGGAACUGAGACACGGUCCAGACUCCUACGGGAGGCAGCAGUAGGGAAUCGGCCGCAAUGGGCGAGAGCCUGACGGAGCAACGCCGCGUGAGUGAUGAAGGUCUUCGGAUCGGAAAACUCUGUUAUUAGGGAAGAACAAAUGCGUAAGUAACUGUGCGCGGCUUGACGGUACCUAAUCAGAAAGCCACGGCUAACUACGUG
rnacentral:rRNA from 1 species